rnacentral:lncRNA from 1 species
UGAGCUACUAGAGCCCAGUGAGCAGAAUAAUAAAACAUCUAAAACACAUGAUAACAUGGAAUGCAUCACAUCACAGCUAAUCACAUCAAGGAUGAACUUGUCACCAAUAGCCCUCUACAUAGUCCAACUGUGCCAGAACGUAGAAUGGGUCCUGGUCUUUCUCUUACAUAGCAUAACAUAACAUAGUCCAACUGUGCCAGAACGUAGAAUGGGUCCUGGUCUUUCUCUUACAUAGUGCCAGCGAACGUAGAAUGGGUCCCACUGGUCUUACAUUCCGUACCGUACAUAUCACAUCGUCACAUCAUAGAUCGAGGGCUAUGGAUCAUCCAACAUUCAUCCACAUCAACAUU